CCCGCAUGGAAUCAUUCCCGUGACAAGGCGACGGCGGAACGAGGAAGCCGGUGUGAAUCCGGCGCGGUCCCGCCACUGUGAUCGGCGAGCCGGUCCCAACAGGCCACUGCCCGACAGCGGGUGGGAAGGCCGGGGCAGGCGUUGACCCGAGAGCCAGGAGACUCACGCGGUCGCCUCCUCGACG
rnacentral:ncRNA from 2 species